GAUAAACGCUGGCGGCGUGCAUAACACAUGCGAGUCGAACGAAGAAACUUAGAUGAUUUCUUCGGAAUGAACUUAAGUGGAUUAGUGGCGAACGGGUGAGUAACACGUGAGUAACCUGCCUUACACAAGGGGAUAGCCUCUGGAAACGGAGAAUAAUACCCUAUAAAGUCUAAUCAGCACAUGCUGGAAAGACCAAAGAUUUAUCGGUGUAAGAUGGACUUGCGUCUGAUUAGCUAGUUGGUGAGAUACAAGCUCACCAAGGCGACGAUCAGUAGCCGGCUUGAGAGAGUGUACGGCCACAUUGGGACUGAGACACGGCCCAAACUCCUACGGGAGGCAGCAGUGGGGAAUUUUGCACAAUGGGGGAAACCCUGAUGCAGCGACGCCGCGUGAUUUAGAAGGCCUUCGGGUUGUAAAAAUCUUUUUUACGGGAUGAAAAUGACAGUACCGUAAGAAUAAGGUCCGGCUAAAUACGUGCCAGCAGCCGCCGUAA
rnacentral:rRNA from 1 species